rnacentral:rRNA from 1 species
UGCCAGACUCCUACGGGAGGCAGCAGUGGGGAAUAUUGCACAAUGGGGGGAACCCUGAUGCAGCGACGCCGCGUGGGUGAAGGAGCACCUCGGUGCGUAAAGCCCUAUCGGCAGGGAAGAAAAGCGAACAGGUUCGCCUGGACGGUACCUGACUAAGAAGCCCCGGCUAACUACGUGCCAGCAGCCGCGGUAAUACGUAGGGGGCAAGCGUUAUCCGGAUUCACUGGGUGUAAAGGGAGCGUAGACGGCGGCGCAAGUCCGGAGUGAAAGCCCGGGGCCCAACCCCGGGACUGCUCUGGAAACUGUACGGCUGGAGUGCAGGAGAGGUAAGUGGAAUUCCUAGUGUAGCGGUGAAAUGCGUAGAUAUUAGGAGGAACACCAGUGGCGAAGGCGGCUUACUGGACUGUAACUGACGUUGAGGCUCGAAAGCGUGGGGAGCAAACAGGAUUAGAUACCCCAGUAUA